GAUGAACGCUGGCGGCGUGCCUAAUACAUGCAAGUCGAACGCACAGCGAAAGGUGCUUGCACCUUUCAAGUGAGUGGCGAACGGGUGAGUAACACGUGGACAACCUGCCUCAAGGCUGGGGACAACAUUUGGAAACAGAUGCUAAUACCGAAUAAAACUCAGUGUCGCAUGACACAAAGUUAAAAGGCGCUUUGGCGUCACCUAGAGAUGGAUCCGCGGUGCAUUAGUUAGUUGGUGGGGUAAAGGCCUACCAAGACAAUGAUGCAUAGCCGAGUUGAGUGACUGAUCGGCCACAUUGGGACUGAGACACGGCCCAAACUCCUACGGGAGGCUGCAGUAGGGAAUCUUCCACAAUGGGCGAAAGCCUGAUGGAGCAACGCCGCGUGUGUGAUGAAGGCUUUCGGGUCGUAAAGCACUGUUGUAUGGGAAGAACAGCUAGAAUAGGGAAUGAUUUUAGUUUGACGGUACCAUACCAGAAAGGGACGGCUAAAUACGUGCCAGCCGCCGCCGUAA
rnacentral:rRNA from 1 species